UACGUAGGGGGCAAGCGUUAUCCGGAUUUACUGGGUGUAAAGGGAGCGUAGACGGCAGAGCAAGUCUGAAGUGAAAGCCCGCGGCCCGACUGCGGGACUGCUUUGGAAACUGCCCGGCUAGAGUGCUGGAGAGGUAAGCGGAAUUCCUAGUGUAGCGGUGAAAUGCGUAGAUAUUAGGAGGAACACCAGUGGCGAAGGCGGCUUACUGGACAGUAACUGACGUUGAGGCUCGAAAGCGUGGGGAGCAAACAGG
rnacentral:rRNA from 1 species